GGGAGCGGAUGGGGCCUGGUGGCUCUCCCGGUCUUCAAAACCGUGGCGCCGGCGUCCAGGCGUCGGCGGGUGGGUUCGAUUCCCAUACGCUCCCGCCA
rnacentral:tRNA from 1 species